GACGAACCGUGCGAACGUUGUUCGGAUUCACUGGGCUUAAAGGGCGCGUAGGCGGCUUGCCAAGUCAGGGGUGAAAUCGUUCGGCUCAACCGGAAAAGUGCUUCUGAUACUGGCAGGCUGGAGGGAGGUAGGGGCAGAUGGAACUUCCGGUGGAGCGGUGAAAUGCGUAGAUAUCGGAAGGAACGCCGGUGGCGAAAGCGAUCUGCUGGAUCUCUUCUGACGCUGAUGCGCGAAAGCCAGGGGAGCAAACGGG
rnacentral:rRNA from 1 species